AUGGAGAAGCAUGUGAGGACCUCCCUGGUGGUUUUGUGGCUUCAUUUUUGUUGGGUGAGUGGCAAAAACCAAGUGGAACAGAGUCCUCCAUCCCUGACGGUCCUGGAGGGACAGAACUGCACGUUUCAAUGCAAUUAUACAGUGAACUCCUUUGGCAAUUUAAGGUGGUACAAACAGGACACUGGGAGAGGUCUUGUUUCCCUGAUAAUCAUGAGUUACAGUGACAGCAAAAAAUCGAAUGGACGGUACACAGCCACUCUGGAUGCAAGUGCCAAGCACAGCUCCCUGCACAUCACAGCUGCCCAGCUCAGCGAUCCAGCCUUCUACAUCUGUGUGGUGGAUGCACUGUGCUCCCCAGGCACUCGCAGCCAGUACCCAAACCUGCACCUGGAGGCUGUCAGGGAGCAUUUCUUUUAA